rnacentral:misc_RNA from 1 species
AAAAUCCCAUGUCGACGAUCAAUCCAAUGUAACUUCCCAUUCAAAGCAACAGGCCUCCUGAGCCACACAACUUCAAUUGCUACAUCCAUAUACACAACAACUCUCCUCCAACGUCCAGUCUCAGACGAGAACACCUCAAACUUAAGCACAUACGACUCACCAAACUGACAAUCCAAUCUCACUACUUUAUAACUCGUCAGAGACCCCCCUUCAGAUUUCGUUACAAAACCAGUACUAACAUCACCAAAACGUGUACAAGUUCGAGGAAUAGCAACACACCACCCCAUCAUAGCAUUGUAAACAUGAUAAUCAAUCACUUCCUCACUCAUACCACAAUCAUACAAAACUAGCCCAUCACUAACUCCAACAACAUUACA